CCAAUAGCGUAUAUUAAAGUUGUUGCAGUUAAAAAGCUCGUAGUUGAACUUCGGGAUUUACCCAUUGGUCAGGCUUAAUUGUCUGUACUGGUGAGAUGAAUCUCUACCUUCUGAGGAACUUUCAUGCCAUUUAUUUGGUGUGAUUGGAAAUCAGGACUAUUAUUUUGAAAAAAUUAGAGUGUUUAAAGCAGGCUAACGUCUGAAUAUAUUAGCAUGGAAUAAUGAAAUAGGACGGCUUGGUUCUAUUUCGUUGGUUUCUAGGAUCACCGUAAUGAUUAAUAGGGAUAGUUGGGGGCAUUAGUAUUCAAUUGUCAGAGGUGAAAUUCUUGGAUUCAUUGAAGACUAACUACUGCGAAAACAUUUGCCAAGGAUGUUUUCAUUAAUCAAGAACGAAAGUUAGGGGAUCGAAGACGAUCAGAUACCGUCGUAGUCUUAACCAUAAACUAUACCGACUAGGGAUCGGACGAAGUUAAUUUUAUAAUGACGCGUUCAGCACCUUACG
rnacentral:rRNA from 1 species